GUCUCUGUGUCUUAGUGGUUAGCGCACUGAUCUAGUAAACCAGGGGUAGAGAGUUCGAGUGUCUCCAGAGGCU
rnacentral:tRNA from 1 species